GAUGAACGCUGGCGGCGUGCCUAAUACAUGCAAGUCGAGCGAACAGACGAGGAGCUUGCUCCUCUGACGUUAGCGGCGGACGGGUGAGUAACACGUGGAUAACCUACCUAUAAGACUGGGAUAACUUCGGGAAACCGGAGCUAAUACCGGAUAAUAUAUUGAACCGCAUGGUUCAAUAGUGAAAGACGGUUUUGCUUUCACUUAUAGAUGGAUCCGCGCCGCAUUAGCUAGUUGGUAAGGUAACGGCUUACCAAGGCGACGAUGCGUAGCCGACCUGAGAGGGUGAUCGGCCACACUGGAACUGAGACACGGUCCAGACUCCUACGGGAGGCAGCAGUAGGGAAUCUUCUGCAAUGGGCGAAAGCCUGACGGAGCAACGCCGCGUGAGUGAUGAAGGUCUUCGGAUCGUAAAACUCUGUUAUUAGGGAAGAACAAAUGUGUAAGUAACUAUGCACGUCUUGACGGUACCUAAUCAGAAAGCCACGGCUAACUACGUG
rnacentral:rRNA from 1 species